rnacentral:tRNA from 1 species
GCCGGCACUAUCGAAAUCGGCCCGUCACCGGCCCAAGCGGCUUUGUAAACCGUUGGUCGGGGGUUCAAAUCCCUCAGCCGGCACCA